UGGUGGAGUGUCACGACUUGGUGGAG
rnacentral:piRNA from 1 species